rnacentral:misc_RNA from 1 species
CCAAUCAACAAUUUGUAGUAGGCCGCCUGCGCUAUCGCGCGCAUGGAAGAUUCCCCUUUCCCCUCUUUUUCUUAGCAGUCGGAAGCGAGAGCUGUACGUGAUCACGCAGUUGGUCGUGAGGGGUGGAUCCACCGGCGAUUUCAGGGGCCGCCAAAAUAAAACUAGUGUGUACUUGGUUUAGUGAAAAAGUUGUGUGGAAAAUUUAUCUGAAAUUAUAUACGAUGUAUCGUCAGGCCAUUCUGCAAAUUCUCCCUAAAUGGCAUAUUUGGAACAACAGAGUAUGUUUUUCUCAUGUUC